rnacentral:lncRNA from 1 species
UCUCAGAAUGCUUCUGUCUAGUUUUAAGUGAAGAUAUAUCCUUUUCCACCACAUGCCUCAAAGCACUCCAAAUAUCCACUUGCAGAUUCUGAAAAAGAGUGAUUCAAAACUGCUAAAAGGAAAGGUUCAACUCUGUGAAGAUAUUUCCUUUUCCACUAUGGACCACAAAGAGCUCCAAAAUAUCCAUUUGCAGAUAGUACAGAACGACUGUUUCCAAACUGAUCACUCAAAAGGGAGUGCUUUCUUCUAGUUUUUAUGGGCAGAUAUUUCCUUUUGUGCCAUAAGCAGCACUCCAAAUAUAAAUUUGCAGAUUCUACAAAAACACUGUUU